rnacentral:misc_RNA from 1 species
CCCUGGUUCAUAAGCUACCUCUUCUUGUCAGCGGCUGAGGAGGACAAAUCUGCCGGUUUAAUGGGCUUUAGCUCUCGUUUCAGGGUCGAUCUCCCCAAUAAACGGUGAAUUACCGUAGGCAUGCACUAUCCAGUGUCCACACCUUAAUGAAAAAUUUUUAGGGACCAAAAUAACCCCUUGCACUUUAAGAUUUUACUUUCACACGAGGUCAGCAGCUUGAAAGUGGCUAACGUUUCUUCUCGAAAUCUCGCCUAUUUUCCGGUCACCUGUCAUUCUUGUUCUAACCUUUUAAUAGACCAAAUCGC